rnacentral:rRNA from 1 species
GAUGAACGCUGACAGAAUGCUUAACACAUGCAAGUCAACUUGAACUUCGGUUUGGGUGGCGGACGGGUGAGUAACGCGUAAAGAACUUGCCUCACAGAUAGGGACAACAUUUGGAAACGAAUGCUAAUACCUGAUAUUAUGAUUUUAGGGCAUCCUAGAAUUAUGAAAGCUAUAUGCGCUGUGAGAGAGCUUUGCGUCCCAUUAGCUAGUUGGAGAGGUAACGGCUCACCAAGGCGAUGAUGGGUAGCCGGCCUGAGAGGGUGAUCGGCCACAAGGGGACUGAGACACGGCCCUUACUCCUACGGGAGGCAGCAGUGGGGAAUAUUGGACAAUGGACCGAGAGUCUGAUCCAGCAAUUCUGUGUGCACGAUGAAGUUUUUCGGAAUGUAAAGUGCUUUCAGUUGGGAAGAAAUAAAUGACGGUACCAACAGAAGAAGUGACGGCUAAAUACGUGCCAGCAGCCGCGGUAAUACGUAUGUCACGAGCGUUAUCCGGAUUUAUUGGGCGUAAAGCGCGUCUAGGUGGUUAUGUAAGUCUGAUGUGAAAAUGCAGGGCUCAACUCUGUAUUGCGUUGGAAACUGUAUAACUAGAGUACUGGAGAGGUAAGCGGAACUACAAGUGUAGAGGUGAAAUUCGUAGAUAUUUGUAGGAAUGCCGAUGGGGAAGCCAGCUUACUGGACAGAUACUGACGCUGAAGCGCGAAAGCGUGGGUAGCAAACAGG